rnacentral:rRNA from 1 species
GAUGAACGCUAGCGGCAGGCUUAAUACAUGCAAGGCGAGGGGGCAGCAAUGUCACCGUCGUACGGGUGCGUAACGCGUAUGCAACCUACCUUCAACUGGGGGAUAGCCCGGGGAAACCCGGAUUAAUACCGCAUAAUACAGGGGGCCCACAUGGGUCUAUUUGUUAAAGAUUUAUUGGUUGAAGAUGGGCAUGCGUUCGAUUAGCUAGUUGGUGUAGGUAACGGCUCACCAAGGCGACGAUCGAUAGGGGAGCUGAGAGGUUGAUCCCCCACACGGGCACUGAGAUACGGGCCCGACUCCUACGGGAGGCAGCAGUAGGGAAUAUUGGGCAAUGGAUGCAAGUCUGACCCAGCCAUGCCGCGUGCCGGAUGAAGGCCCUCAGGGUUGUAAACGGCUUUUAUUCGGGAAGAAGAGCAGGGAUGCGUCCUUGUGUGACGGUACCGAAUGAAUAAGCACCGGCUAACUCCGUGC